ensembl:lncRNA
GCUCAGGAUGAGUUACUCACAGCCCCAGUUAGCUUGCUUAUUAUAAGAUGCAGACACAGAUCCUCAGAGAUGUUGUUGGCUUGGUUUCUGACCACCACAAUAAAACAGAUAUUGCAAUAAAGACCCUGGGAGGAAGGAAAGCUCAGCCAGGACCGGGAAGAAACCAGCAUCCCUGGGGCGCGUUCCUGGAAACGUCUCUUACUGCAGCAAGAUCUCUUACUAGAAGGCGCAGACUGGAACCCUCUCCAGCUUCGCUGACAGAAAAAAGGAAGUGGAGCAAACACCUACAAAACAGACAGGAAAAAGGAAGUGGAGCAAACACCUACAAAACACCUUCAGGACUGGCAGUUCCAAGCCUCAGCUAGCAGCCUAUAAAUUUACCACCUUCACUAUCAAGAUAAGAAGACCUUGUCUCAGAGUGCUUAAGUGAUGUGAUCAGCUACAUAGCUUAUAGGUGUUAAAACAAACUGGCUCCGGGAUCCACACACACUCUCACCUACUGGGCUAGACACCUUCAAUGACCCUCUGUUUGAUGCUGAAAGUACAACUUAGAGAGAUUAAGUGACUUGACCAGGCUACACAGCUGACAAAAAAAGCUGAGACUUCAGCCCUGGAUCCUUCAUGCUAAGCUCUUGGCAACAAUGCAAACCCAAAAGUGUUGGGUCUUCAGGGAGGACCAACCAUAAUGAUGCCUUCUUACUGCUCAUUCUUGAUUUGCACGUGACUCUGCUCCACUCAUGAACCCCUGUUUUGCCACUAGGUUCAGCUGUGGUUGAUUUUCAGAACCCACAGGGACGAAAAAAAAAACCAUAUUCCUAUUUGUUGCAAUUGUUCUUGGGGCUUCCCAGGUAAUGUAGUGGUAAAGAACCCGUCUGCCAAUGCAGGAAAUGCAAGAGAUGUAGGUUCAAUCCCUGGAUCCGGAAGAUACCCUGGGAAAUGGCAACCCACUCCAGUAUUCUUGCCUGGAAAAUUCCAUGAACAGAGGAGCCUGAUGGGCUACGGUCCAUGGGGUCAUGAAGAGUCAGACACAGAUGAGCACGCACGCACAGCACAGUGGUUUUUAGUAACGGCAACUCUUAGAAUCACCCGGGGUUCUUUAUAAUCUGUUGAUGCCAAGGCUCCACCUUAGACCAGAAUAUCUGAGGUGGGGGACAAGGACACCAGUAUUUCAUAAGAACUAUCCAGGUGAAUUUAAUGUGCAGUCAGGGC